AUUGAACGCUGGCGGCAGGCCUAACACAUGCAAGUCGAACGAGUGGCGGACGGGUGAGUAAUGUCUGGGAAAAUGCCUGAUGGAGGGGGAUAACUACUGGAAACGGUAGCUAAUACCGCAUACCAUCAGAUGUGCCCAGAUGGGUUUAGCUUGUGGGUGGGGUAACGGUUCACCAAGGCGACGAUCCCUAGCUGGUGUGGGAGGAUGACCGACCACACUGGAACUGGGACACGGUACAGACUCCUGCGGGAGGCAGGAGUAGGGAAUAGUUGACAAUGGGCGCAAGCCUGAUGCAGCAAUGCCGCGUGUAUGAAGAAGGCCUUCGGGUUGUAAAGUACUUUCAGCGGAGAGGCGUUACCCGCAGAAGAAGCACCGGAUAACUCCGUGCCAGCCGCCGCGGUAAUAC
rnacentral:rRNA from 1 species